CCUAAAGCUGAGACUGACACCUGAUACAGUUAGGUCCUAAAGCUGAGACUGACACCAGAUACAGUUAGGUCCUAAAGCUGAGAUUACACACUGACACCUGAUACAGUUAGGUCCUAAAGCUGAGAUUACACACUGACACCAGAUACAGUUAGGUCCUAAAGCUGAGACUACACACUGACACCUGAUACAGUUAGGUCCUAAAGCUGAGACUGACACCAGAUACAGUUAGGUCCUAAAGCUGAGAUUACACACUGACACCUGAUACAGUUAGGUCCUAAAGCUGAGACUGACACCAGAUUCAGUUAGACCCUAAAGCUGAGACUGACACCAGAUUCAGUUAGGUCCUAAAGCUGAGACUGACACCAGACACAGUUAGGUCCUAAAGCUGAGACUGACACCAGAUACAGUUAGGUCCUAAAGCUGAGACUGACACCAGAUACAGUUAGGUCCUAAAGCUGAGACUGACACCAGAUACAGUUAGGUCCUAAAGCUGAGACUGACACCAGAUACAGUUAGGUCCUAAAGCUGAAAU